rnacentral:rRNA from 1 species
GACGGAGGGUGCAAGCGUUGCUCGGAAUUACUGGGCGUAAAGGGUCCGCAGGCGGCAAGGUCAGUCGGAUGUGAAAGCCCGGGGCUCAACCCCGGAACUGCAUUCGAUACUGCCUAGCUUGAAUACGGGAGAGGGAAGCGGAAUUCCUGGUGUAGAGGUGAAAUUCGUAGAUAUCAGGAGGAACACCAGCGGCGAAAGCGGCUUCCUGGCCCGAUAUUGACGCUCAUGGACGAAAGCGUGGGUAGCAAACAGG